GACGAACGCUGGCGGCGUGCUUAACACAUGCAAGUCGAACGGUAAGGCCCUUCGGGGUACACGAGUGGCGAACGGGUGAGUAACACGUGGGUGAUCUGCCCUGCACUUCGGGAUAAGCCUGGGAAACUGGGUCUAAUACCGGAUAGGACUCCUGCCUGCAUGGGUGGGGGUGGAAAGCUUUUGCGGUGUGGGAUGGGCCCGCGGCCUAUCAGCUUGUUGGUGGGGUGAGGGCCUACCAAGGCGACGACGGGUAGCCGGCCUGAGAGGGUGACCGGCCACACUGGGACUGAGAUACGGCCCAGACGCCUACGGGAGGCAGCAGGGGGGAAUAUUGCACAAUGGGCGCAAGCCUGAUGCGGCGACGCCGCGUGAGGGAUGACGGCCUUCGGGUUGUAAACCUCUUUCAGCACAGACGAAGCGCAAGUGACGGUAUGUGCAGAAGAAGGACCGGCCAACUACGUGCCAGCCGCCGCCGUAA
rnacentral:rRNA from 1 species